UCAGGCGGCACUAGCGCGGUGGUCCCACCUGACCCCAUGCCGAACUCAGAAGUGAAACGCCGUAGCGCCGAUGGUAGUGUGGGGUCUCCCCAUGUGAGAGUAGGGAACUGCCAGGC
rnacentral:rRNA from 1 species